rnacentral:rRNA from 1 species
CCAGCAGCUGCGGUAAUUCCAGCUCCAAUAGCGUAUAUUAAAGUUGUUGCAGUUAAAACGCUCGUAGUCUGAUGUAAUGGGGACUGGUGUGGGGAGCAGCAAUGCUCUUUGCUUCGGUCCUCAUCAACGGGACAGUAAUGUCCCAUUUUACUUUGAGGAAAUUAGAGUGUUCAAAGCAGGCGAUUGCUUGAAUACUGCAGCAUGGAAUAAUGGAAUAGGACUCGCGUCUUAUUUUGUUGGUUUGGAGAUGUGAGUAAUGAUGAAUAGGGACAGUUGGGGGCAUUGGUAUUCAGUAGUCAGAGGUGAAAUUCUUGGACCGUCUGAAGACUAACUACUGCGAAAGCAUUUGCCAAGAGUGUUUUCAUUAAUCAAGAACGAAAGU